UCGCGACUCUAAGAGAUUAGAGUUUUCGGUUCGGCCGGACGAAACACAGGUGCUGCAUGGCUGUCGUCAGCUCGUGUCGUGAGAUGUUGGGUUAAGUCCCGCAACGAGCGCAACCCUCACUUUUAGUUGCCAUCAUUAAGUUGGGCACUCUGAAAGAACUGCCAGUGAUAAGCUGGAGGAAGGUGGGGAUGACGUCAAGUCCUCAUGGCCCUUACGUGUUGGGCUACACACGUGCUACAAUGGUAUCUACAACAGGAAGCAAGACUGCGAAGUUAAGCAAAUCCCUAAAAGAUACCUCAGUUCGGAUUGCACUCUGCAACUCGAGUGCAUGAAGCUGGAAUUACUAGUAAUCGUGGAUCAGCGUGCCACGGUGAAUGCGUUCCCGGGUCUUGUACACACCGCCCGUCACACCAUGGGAGUUGGUUCUACCUUAAGGCAAGGUUUCAAACCCUUGACCACGGUAUAGUCAGCGACUGGGGUGAAGUCGUAACAAGGUAGCCGUAGGGGAACCUGCGGCUGGAUUACCUCCUUU
rnacentral:rRNA from 1 species